rnacentral:rRNA from 1 species
CACAUGUUGCAUGAUCAAAGAGGCCUCUGGCUUGCAAGCUCUCGCCAAGGAGGGGGUCGCGACGUAUCAGUUUGUUGGUGGGGUAACGGCCUACCAAGACUACGANNCGUAGCGGAUCUGAGAGGAUGAUCCGUCACAUUGGGACUGAGAUACGGCCCAGACUCCUACGGGAGGCAGCAGUGGGGAAUAUUGCGCAAUGGACGAAAGUCUGANGCAGCGACGCCGCGUGUGGGAGGAAGCCUUUCGGGGUGUAAACCACUGUCAGAGGGGNAGAACAGCGUCUGUUCGAAUAGUUCAGGCGUUUGACGGUACCCUCAGAGGAAG